rnacentral:rRNA from 1 species
GGGUUGUGAGGUUAAGCGACUAAGCGUACACGGUGGAUGCCCUGGCAGUCAGAGGCGAUGAAGGACGUGCUAAUCUGCGAUAAGCGCCGGUAAGGUGAUAUGAACCGUUAUAACCGGCGAUUUCCGAAUGGGGAAACCCAGUGUGACUCGUCACACUAUCAUUAACUGAAUCCAUAGGUUAAUGAGGCGAACCGGGGGAACUGAAACAUCUAAGUACCCCGAGGAAAAGAAAUCAACCGAGAUUCCCCCAGUAGCGGCGAGCGAACGGGGAGGAGCCCAGAGCCUGAAUCAGCAUGUGUGUUAGUGGAAGCGUCUGGAAAGGCGCGCGAUACAGGGUGACAGCCCCGUACACAAAAGCGCAUGUGCUGUGAGCUCGAUGAGUAGGGCGGGACACGUGGUAUCCUGUCUGAAUAUGGGGGGACCAUCCUCCAAGGCUAAAUACUCCUGACUGACCGAUAGUGAACCAGUACCGUGAGGGAAAGGCGAAAAGAACCCCGGCGAGGGGAGUGAAAAAGAACCUGAAACCGUGUACGUACAAGCAGUGGGAGCACAGGUUUACCUGUGUGACUGCGUACCUUUUGUAUAAUGGGUCAGCGACUUAUAUUCUGUAGCAAGGUUAACCGUAUAGGGGAGCCGCAGGGAAACCGAGUCUUAACCGGGCGUUAAGUUGCAGGGUAUAGACCCGAAACCCGGUGAUCUAGCCAUGGGCAGGUUGAAGGUUGGGUAACACUAACUGGAGGACCGAACCGACUAAUGUUGAAAAAUUAGCGGAUGACCUGUGGCUGGGGGUGAAAGGCCAAUCAAACCGGGAGAUAGCUGGUUCUCCCCGAAAGCUAUUUAGGUAGCGCCUCGUGAAUUCAUCUCCGGGGGUAGAGCACUGUUUCGGCUAGGGGGCCAUCCCGGCUUACCAACCCGAUGCAAACUGCGAAUACCGGAGAAUGUUAUCACGGGAGACACACGGCGGGUGCUAACGUCCGUCGUGAAGAGGGAAACAACCCAGACCGCCAGCUAAGGUCCCAAAGUCAUGGUUAAGUGGGAAACGAUGUGGGAAGGCCCAGACAGCCAGGAUGUUGGCUUAGAAGCAGCCAUCAUUUAAAGAAAGCGUAAUAGCUCACUGGUCGAGUCGGCCUGCGCGGAAGAUGUAACGGGGCUAAACCAUGCACCGAAGCUGCGGCAGCGACGCUGAUGCGUUGUUGGGUAGGGGAGCGUUCUGUAAGCCUGUGAAGGUGGCCUGUGAGGGUUGCUGGAGGUAUCAGAAGUGCGAAUGCUGACAUAAGUAACGAUAAAGCGGGUGAAAAGCCCGCUCGCCGGAAGACCAAGGGUUCCUGUCCAACGUUAAUCGGGGCAGG